GAAUAUUGGACAAUGGGUGAGAGCCUGAUCCAGCCAUCCCGCGUGAAGGACGACGGCCCUAUGGGUUGUAAACUUCUUUUGUACAGGGAUAAACCCAGAUACGUGUAUCUGGCUGAAGGUACUGUACGAAUAAGCACAGGCUAACUACGUGCCAGCAGCCGCGGUAAUACGGAGGGUGCAAGCGUUAUCCGGAUUUAUUUGGUUUAAAGGGUCCGUUGGGGGGCCCCGUAGUUCGGGGUUAAAUCCCGCAGCUUAAAUGUUGAACCUCCAUUGAUACCUCCGGUUUUGAGUUAAUUUUAAGGUGCUGGAAUUAGUAGUGUAGCGGUGAAACGCAUAGAUAUUACUUAGAACACCAAUUGCGAAGGCAGGUCACUAAGAUUUAACUGACGCUGAUGGACGAAAGCGUGGGGAGCGAACA
rnacentral:rRNA from 1 species